rnacentral:tRNA from 1 species
GAAGGUAUAGCUCAGUGGUAGAGUGCUUGCCUAGCAUGUACAAGAUCUUGGGUUCAAUUCCCAGUACCUCUG